rnacentral:rRNA from 1 species
GUGGGGAAUCUUGCGCAAUGGGCGAAAGCCUGACGCAGCCAUGCCGCGUGAAUGAUGAAGGUCUUAGGAUUGUAAAAUUCUUUCACCGGGGACGAUAAUGACGGUACCCGGAGAAGAAGCCCCGACUAACUUCGUGCCAGCAGCCGCGGUAAUACGAAGGGGGCUAGCGUUGCUCGGAAUUACUGGGCGUAAAGGGCGCGUAGGCGGACAGUUUAGUCAGAGGUGAAAGCCCAGGGCUCAACCUUGGAAUUGCCUUUGAUACUGGCUGUCUUGAGUACGGGAGAGGUGAGUGGAACUCCGAGUGUAGAGGUGAAAUUCGUAGAUAUUCGGAAGAACACCAGUGGCGAAGGCGACUCACUGGCCCGUUACUGACGCUGAGGCGCGAAAGCGUGGGGAGCAAACAGGAUUAGAAACCCUUGUAGUCC